CGCCGCUCUCCUUCCUUCACCAAUCUCCAACUGUUGAGUCGCUCAGCCGCCAGAGCUCCACUGAGUUCAGCCUCUUGCCUGGCCUGAGUAAAGUUAACCUCAUCGCUUCCGCAGCAAAGCUCUCUCUCUCGAGUCCGUUGCCAUUGAUCAUCAUCCUCGCGUCCCUAUUCAGGUAGCUCUCUCUCUCGAGUCCGUUGCCAUUGAUCAUCAUCCUCGUGUCCCUAUUCAGGCAUCUAUGGUGGAAGAAGAAUCAAUGGAAGUUGCAUUAGAAAUUAAUCAAGUUGGAAUGGUUGUACUUGAAAGACGGCGGAGAAACAGAGGAUGUAGCCUUCGUGCCCAACUUACGUUGUCUAAACGUUCAUGGAGUAACUCACACGUGUGCCUGGUCGUCCACACUUCAACCCCUGUCCAUUCGGAGCCAGAAACUCUCCAGCCACAUUGGCGCUUCCCCUUUGGAGGUCCUAAACUCCUUUUCUCUUGUUGCUUCACUAUCAUUUAUAUCUAUUUCAUUUAACUAAUUCGCAGUGCCGGUUUGUAGUUUGUAGUUCAGAGGCAUGCUUGAUUCUUAUAUGUUGCUAAGUCCCUCGGACGAUCUACACCUUGCCUGAAAAUGAAAUUUGAUUUCUCCUUUCUGCUCUUGGGGAUUAGAGAUUUUUCUUUGAUGAUUACAACGUGUUUGGCUUGCCUGAAAAGCCUAAAGUCACGAUCUCUUUCUGUUCCGGUUUGGUUUGAAUGUAAUGGGAAGGGAGGUUAGAACAUCACUUCAUGCUUGAAUAGACUGAAGGAGAAAAAUGUGGCAACACCAUUGCAACAAGGUUAAACGUUUAAGUGUAUGGUUAGCAUCCUAAAUGAGCUGUUCAAAAUGGAUUGGAUUCUUAGUCUAUCUUCUUUGGGAAAAUAUGGGAGGUACUGCUCGAAGAACUAAUAGCUAAAUAUGAACAAGGAGCUUUUAGAACAUACAAGGAUUGUUUUCUCUGUUUAGUGGCUGUUCCUUCGAAAGGGAUGGAAAAUCUAAUGAGUAAUCCUGUACUGAUAUAGCAUGACUAGAGCAAUAUGCUGCUCAGAAUGGUUGCUUUGCUAGAUUGCGCGACAUCUGAAUGCUCAUGGAGGGCUUCACACACGUGCCUGGUUGUCCACACUUCAACCCCUGUCCAAUUGGAGCAAGAAACUCUCUGCUCAUAUCCGCGCUUCUCCUUUGGAGGCCAUUGACCAGACGACUCAGAUGGUUCUAUUCAAGUUGCUCAACUGUCAUGUAUUUAAUGAUAUAAAUGGUUGCAUUUCCAUUGGCAAAGAAGUAUGUUAUCAUAUACAUAGAGCAGUACUGGCUACUUUCUUUUCUCUACCAAUGGAUUGCAAGCGUCUCUCAUGCAACAAAAUCUGACGGGCAAGAAUUGGCAAUCAAGGCCUACAAGACUUCGGCGCUGGUGUUCAAUGAUAUAUACUGAAGACGCUAGAUUUGGUGAAAAAUGUGGGAGAGGAUGUGAUUUGGAUAAUAACUAGGAAGGACAUUGAAGACAUGUCUACAAGACUCUCAUGGGGUUAUCUCAGGCUCUCACGAAGGGGGACGCUAAUGCUAUAGAAAAGGCAACUGAUCCUGGCGAUAAUACUAAAGCUUGCGGUAGAGUCCAACUCAGAUACAGAUGUAGAUGAAGAUUCGGAAGGAAAUUAGUCAGCUUCCAAAACCGAGGUGCUGGCUCCUGUUGACAAGAAGGCUUCUAGGAAGGAGAACAAAAAGAAGGUCAAAGAGGAAAAAAGGGAAGCGAGGAAAGACAGUCUACAAGGCCGCGAAGAAAGAAGGAAGAAGUUGGCGAAAGCCCAUGGGACUGGUAGUUCGUUUAUGGUAGUGGUAUUAAUAUACAUACCCGGCAUUUCUCAAUAGAGAGGAGUCACGUAUCGUAUAAGUUUAAUUUACUGGAUCUGUAGAUGGCUUUGCACUUUUCAGUGGUAGCCCAGUUUAAGCUUAGAGUAAAGCGAGAGGGAUAAGAUAAGUUAUGUUGGUCUUGUAUUGUGUCAGGGUAUCGUUAUUAGAUGGUGUUGGUCUAUUGUUCCAAGGUAAAUUGUAUAGCAGCUUCUUCCUUUUUCCUAUCUUUUUGCU